UUGAGUUUUUGUUUUUUCAGGCUUGAUUCAUUCAGAACUUCCAUACAGCAAAGCAUCCCCAAACCAUCACACUACCACCACCACGCUUCACCGUUGGGACGAGGUCCUUACUGUGGAAUCAUCACACUACCACCACCACGCUUCACCGUUGGGAUGAGGUCCUUACUGUGGAAUCAUCACACUACCACCACCACGCUUCACCGUUGGGAUGAGGUCCUUACUGUGGAAUCAUCACACUACCACCACCACGCUUCACCGUUGGGAUGAGGUCCUUACUGUGGAAUCAUCACACUACCACCACCACGCUUCACCGUUGGGAUGAGGUCCUUACUGUGGAAUCAUCACACUACCACCACCACGCUUCACCGUUGGGAUGAGGUCCUUACUGUGGAAUCAUCACACUACCACCACCACGCUUCACCGUUGGGAUGAGGUCCUUACUGUGGAAUCAUUACACUACCACCACCACGCUUCACCGUUGGGAUGAGGUCCUUACUGUGGAAUCAUCACACUACCACCACCACGCUUCACCGUUGGGAUGAGGUCCUUACUGUGGAAUCAUCACACUACCAUCACCACGCUUCAGCGUUGGGAUGAGGUCCUUAUGGAAUGUUUGGUUUUUGACCAGGCAUAAUGGGACCCAUGUUUUCCAAAAAGUUAUACUUUUGACUCAUCUGUCCAUAGAACAUUCUUCCAAGAGUCUUGAUUAUCAUCCAGGUGCUUCCAGGUACUUUUUGGCAAACUUUUUGGAUGAGAAAAACCAAACACUGCAUUCCUCAGUAAGAAACUCAUACCAACGGUCAAACAUGGUGGUGGUAGUGUGAUAGUUUGGGGAUGCUUUGCUGCCUCAGGACAUGGAUGACUUGCCUUAAUAGAAGGAACCAUGAAUUCUGCAGUAUAUCAGAGAAUUCUACAGGAGAAUGUCAGGCCAUCCGCCUGGGAGCUGAAGCUGGAGCACAGCUGGGUCGUGCAUCAAGACAAUGAUCCAAAACACAUAAUCAAAUCUACAUGAAAAUGGUUAAAAAGCAACACAUUUGAAGUUUUGGAAUGGCCUAGUCAAAGUCCAGACCUAAUCCCAAUUGAGAUGUUGUGGCAGGACUUGAAACGAGCAGUUCAUACUUGAAAACCCACAAAUGUUGCUUAGUUAUGUUCCGCAUGUAAGAGUGGUCUAAAAUUCCUCCUCCACAAUGUGACAGACUGAUCAACAACUACAGGAAGUGUUUGGUUGCAGUCAUUGCAGCUAAAGGUGGCACAGCCAGUUAUUGAGUGUAAGGGGGCAGUUACUUUCUCAGACAGGGGCACUGGGUGUUGCAUUACUUUAUUAAGUAUAAAUAGUUUUUGUUAUUUGUUAACUCAGGUUCCCUUUAUUUAAUAUUAGGUUUUGGUUAAAGAUUGGAAAACAUUCAGUAUCAGCACUUUUUCCCGGCACUGCAGUAUGUUCACCAUUUCAAUAUGCGUGGACGUUCCAUGCACAAAUUCUGUGGGGUUUUAGCAAUUGUCUGUGUUAGUGUGUGUAAUAAUCGCUGAAGAGGUGAGAAAAGCAUGGUGUUUUGUGAUGGUGUACUUUGCAGUAAUGGAAGGAGUGUAAUAUGGAUCCAUGGUAGGUCUGUGUGUGUCGACCGAAGAGGAAAAAAUGAGCAUGUUUCAGCAAUGCUGGAAGGAGUUGAGACUAACAAGCAUUCCACUCAUACUAGGAGUUACGUUAGUUUCCGCAUUACAUGAUGUGGCUGAAGGCGAGUGGGGCUCUGUGUAGCAUACAUUGUGCCCGUUAGCUGCAGUCUGAUAGAGCGAAGCAGGGAGAUUGUACUGUAUUUCUAAGCGUUAAAGCUUUGUUUUGCUUAGAUAGAGCGUUGAUGUCCGAUGGAAGUUCUGAGUUUAUUUCCUCCUUGAAGACUGUUACCAACACCAGGAGGCUACUCUCUCUCUCUGUCAGUCUAUCUUUCUGUGCAGUAACUGUGUGUGUGUAUGUUCAGUCAAGUUAUCUCUGUCUGUGUGUAUAUGUUCAGUGUCCUGUAAGGCUUUAACCAGGGCAGUGACCUGAAGUCGCCUGUAUUCUAAGAACAUUGUUGUUGGUAGUAAUAGAUGAUAAUAUAGGGUGAGAUGUAGCCUACUUGGCUAACACUACUGUGACCUCAACUGAUCUAAUUAUUUUUUUUAUACCAAAACGUGACCCAUUUGGAUUCUCUCUGUAGCUUGGCAUGGCCUUUUUAUUUACGGGAUGCUUUUUCCAGACGUUAAACCAAACAUUAAACGGUUUCUUCCUAUUGUUUUUAACAUUAACCAAACACUAAAAACCACGGUGUAUACUCAGUGGGAGUUACUGUACUUCCAUUUAUACCCCAAUCUUUAGAUUGGUAAGUGCUUUUUUGUGACUUCCGGAGGAGGGAGUGUGUCCGCCGGAUGGCUGGAUGGUGUAGGGUGAGGUUACCCCUAGAGUUACCCCCCCCCCCGUCCUGCUGAUGGUAAUGGUCUGGGGAGGGUAAGCUGAUCCUAGAUCAACUUCUGCCUGGAGUACAGUCCCCCUGUGUGCCGUCCAUUUUGGAGAGUUCCUCCUCAGAGAGAGUAAAUAGUGUGUGUGUUUCUGUGUAGCUGCUCUGAAAGAUGGUGGAGAUAAUCCUCCUUACUUUAGCAUGCUGCUGGCUGUGUGCCAGACUAACCCUGGCCACCAGGCCUCACUACUGAGGUAUGCAUACCAUUUCCUCCCAAUGUAAGCAGACGCACCCCACUUUACAGGCACGCACACAUACAGUUUUGCAGGCAAACAACAUUUUUAUGUCUCUGUGUCCAGUAUGAAAGAAGUUACAGGUAGUUUCACCAGCCAAUGCUAACUAGCAUUCUAGCAGAUACCCAUAGUCUUCCAGCUAUAUGGCUAGCAGAUACCCAUAGUCUUCCAGCCAUAUGGCUAGCAGAUACCCAUAGUCUUCCAGCCAUAUGGCUAGCAGAUACCCAUAGUCUUCCAGCCAUAUGGCUAGCAGAUACCCAUAGUCUUCCAGCCAUAUGGCUAGCAGAUACCCAUAGUCUUCCAGCCAUAUGGCUAGCAGAUACCCAUAGUCUUCCAGCCAUAUGGCUAGCAGAUACCCAUAGUCUUCCAGCCAUAUGGCUAGCAGAUACCCAUAGUCUUCCAGCCAUCUGCUAGUGCUAGGUAGAUAAAGGGCCUCAUUGCCAAAAUCCCAAAGUAUCCCUUUAAACACACACAUACACAGGCUAGUGAUAUGCGGGUUGACUCGGAAAUCGCAGUCCCCGUGGUUAUAUCCGCUGGUAGGGUGUAGGGUGACCACAUUUAAAAUACACAAAUGUGGGACAACAGGAUGAUUUUGCUGACAUUCAUGGGACAGUGUAGCCUACAUGAUAAAAAGAUUUGUACACCCCCCUCCCCCCCCCAAAUACUUAUUUUCCACCAUAAUUUGCAAAUAAAUUUCAUAAAAAAUCCUACAAUGUGAUUUUCUGGAUUUUUUUCUCCCCCAUUUUGUCUGUCAUAGUUGAAGUGUACCUAUGAUGACAAUUACAGGCCUCCCUCAUCUUUUUAAGUGGGAGAACUUGCACAAUUGGUGGCUGACUAAAUACUUUUUUGCCCCACUGUAUACCGUCCCUGUGUCAUUUAUAGUGUAAAGAUAUGGAAUGGAUUGAUGUUUCAGUUGAGUUUAUUCAAUACUUGUAUCACAUCCGGCCGUGAUUGGGAGUCCCAUAGGGCUGCGCACAAUUGGCCCAGCAUCGUCCGGGUUUGGCUGGGGUAUGCCGUCAUUGUAAAUAAGAAUUUGUUCUUAACUGACUUGCCUCGUUAAAUAAAGGUAAAAUUUUAAAAAGCACUUCGUAACUCUCCGAUGCCAACUAUUUACAUCAGACCGUUAGAAUCACUAGGCAGCCAAAUGCCUAUAGUAGGAAACAGAGUUGUUAUCAAUAAGCCAUGUACAGUUGAAGUCGGAAGUUUACAUACACCUUAGCCAAAAACAUUUCAACUCAGUUUUUCACAAUUCCAUUUAAUCCUAUUUAAAAAAUCCCUGUUUUAGGUCAGUUAGGAUCACCACUUUAUUUAAAAAAUGUGAAGUGUCAGAAUGAAAUAAUUUAUUUAUUUCAGGUUGUAUUUCUUUCAUCACAUUCCCAGUGGGUCAGAAGUUUACAUACCUUUAAAUAGUUUGCAUUGCCUUUAAAUAGUUUAACUUGGGUCAAACUUUUCCCUCAAUAAGUUGGGUCAAUUUUGGUCCAUUCCUCCUGACAGAGUUGGUGUAACUGUGUCAGGUUUGUAGGCCUCCUUGCUCGCACAUGCUUUUUCAGUUCUUCCCACAAAUGUUCUAUAGGAUUGAGGUCAGGGCUUUGUGAUGGCCACUCCAAUACCUUGACUUUGUUGUCCCUUAUUUAAUUUUAAUUUUACCUUUAUUUAACCAGGCAAGUCAGUUAAGAACAUAUUCUUAUUUUCAAUGACGGCCUGGGAACAGUGGGUUAACUGCCUGUUCAGGGGCAGAACGACAGAUUUGUACCUUGUCAGCUCGGGGGUUUCCGGUUACUAGUCCAACGCUCUAACGCUCUAAACACUAGGCUACGCUGCCGCCCCUAAACUAAGCCAUUUUGGCAUAACUUUGAAAGUAUGCUUGGGGUCAUUGUCCAUUUGGAAGAACCAUUUGCGACCACCAAGCUUUAACUUCUUGACUGAUAUCUUGAUGUUACUUCAAUAUAUCCACAUAAUUUUGCCAUCUAUUUUGUGAAGUGCACCAGUCCCUCCUGCAGCAAAGCACCCCCACAACAUGAUGAUGCCACCCCCGUGCUUCACGGUUGGGAUGGUUUUCUUCAGCUUGCAAGCCUCCCCCUUUUUCCUCCAAACAUAACUAAAUUGUAUUCGUCACAUACACAUGGUUAGCAGAUGUUAAUGCGAGUGUAGCGAAAUGCUUGUGCUUCUAGUUCCGACAAUGCAGUAAUAACCAACGAGUAAUCUAGCUAUUUAUUAACAUCAUGCAUUAGAAUUGUAAAAAGAGUCUGAUAUAAUUUGAGUUUUGGAAACGAGUGCUUUCAUUAAUGCAUGGCGCGGGCCUAGUUUCACAGGAGCAUUGUAAAAUAAGCAUUCACUCAAUGAACCAGCCUUAAUGAACUUUGUUUAAUUACAUAUCGAAUUUGAUUGUGUAACAUCAGUUGAAUAAUUUAUUUAUUUUGUGGCCGCCUAGAACAAUGAGCCAGAAAUUUCACAGAAUUUUAAAAUGUAAAGUUUCCUGUUUGGCGUUUCCAUUCACUCCCAAAUAUGGUGAUGUGAGGAAGCUGUUUAAUCAGCUUCUUGAUAUGCCACACCUGUCAGGUGGAUGGAUUAUCUUGGCGAAGGAGAACUGCUCACAGCGACGUCAACUAAUUUGUGCACAAAAUGUUAGAGAAAUAAGCUUUUUGUGCGUAUGGAAAAUGUAUUUUAUUUUAGCUCAUGGAACCUACACUUUAUAUGUUUAUUUGUUUCAGUAUAUUUCCUUACAACCAGUCAAGCUGAUGUAAUUUGGACAUUUUGCACUGAAAAUCAUUCCUGUUUUUCUUUUUUUGUUAUCACAUUUUUUCCUCUGGUCCCUGAACUUCUUUGCUCUGCAAUUUCCACAUUUUGUUGUGUUACAGCCCGAAUUAAAAAUGGAUUACAUUUCUAUUUUGUGUCACUGAUCUGCACACAAUACCUUAUAAUGUUAAUGUGGAAUUAUGUUUUUAGAAAUGUUUCUAAUUAAUAAAUAAUGUAAAGCUGAAAUGUCAUGAGUCAUUAAGUAGUCAACCCCUUUGUUAUGCCAAGCCUAAAUAAGUUCAGGAGUAAAAAUGUGCUUAACAAGUCACAUAAUAAAUUGCAUGGACUCAC